GCCUGCCCUGGUUUUUUCAUGAUGUCAUCCAUUCAUCAUUGUGAGCUGAUUGGCGGUCCCAGGCCUUGGCCGGCUGCCCAAGGCCAGGAGGGAAGAGAGAGUUACCAGGACAAACUUGCGGUAGGCCCCUGAGCAUGUGCGGAAAUGUUGUCAUCAGUUCCACAGAGAAAGACUCAGUGGAAAUCAAAGAAGACAGUGCAAGUCACGAGAUCCUAUCCAAUCUUCCCCUCCCUGAAUGUCGGGGAAGAAGUCAGGGGCCUCUUGCCUGUGGAUGGGGAGCCAAACCCUGGAGUGGGCCUGGGUGUGGAGGAGGGAUUGCUCUGCCAGAUGGUUCACUCUCCAGAAUUCAACCUAUUUCCUGACUCAGUGGUGUUUGAAAGCAACUUUGUCCAGGUCAAAAAGGGCAGGAACUGGAUAGACAUCUACAAAGCCUCCAACACCAUGGCCGUUGGGGUGACCUCCUCCGUGCCCUGCCUGCCCCUUCCCAAUAUCCUCCUCAUGGCUAGUGUCAAAUGGCACCAGGGACAGAGCCAGACAUGGAACAGACCAUCUAAAGCCCCAAACAUCAUCCUGAAGAGGAUACUCCCCCUGAAGUUUGUGGAGCUCCAGGUCUGUGACCGGCUUCAACGCAUCCUGCGGUUGAGGACAGUCACUGAGAAGAUCUACUACCUAAGGCUCCACCCUGACCAUCCAGAGACUGUCUUCCGCUUCUGGAUCCGACUGGUUCAGAUUCUGCAGAAGGGCCUGUCCAUCACCACCAAAGACCCUAGGAUUCUUGUCACUCACUGUCUGGUACCCAAGAACAGCUGCAGCCCCUCGGGAGACUCGAACUUAGUACAGAAUACACCCCAAGCCUCCCAGCCCAGCGAGAGCCUCAUGCAGCUGAUGGCUAAGGGGGAAAGUGAAGCACUCUCUCAGAUUUUUGCCGACUUGCACCAGCCCCGCCAGUUAAGGAGCAGCAAAAAGACACAGACCAAAAGGGACGGCCCAGAGAAAGAUACUCCCAGUGAAGACAGCAUCCCUUGUACCCGAGACCUCAGCUGGAGGGACUCGUUCACUUAUGGAGAGUGGGAAAGAGAGAACCCCUCGGGUCCGCAGCCCCUUUCACUCCUCAGCACCCUGGCAGCCUCCACGGGGCCACAGCUGUCCCCACUCAUAGGAAAUUGUAUUUGAACCACCCUUUCAUUCUGGGGAGAAUCUAUGCAGCCCUCACCAAUGCCACUCUGCCGCCUUCAGCUUUCUGAGGGACUCUAUCUGGAUGUGGAGGAGGAGAAAGCUGCAACUAAGGAAACACUAGAAUCAUCUCACGCUGAUAGCAUAGCCUUUCCUUGGAGAACCACUUGCGAGCACGGCUCCGGGUGAGAAGCAUUAUUCCUGCAUCGUUCUAGUACGUAAUUCCACGUACUCGGGGUCCGCACCGCCACCUGUCACCACACCUAGCCUCCAUCCCGCCACCAGAGCGAGCCCAAGAAGACAUGCUCUCAGAAGGGCCAGGGCCCAGAGGUGGAGAGAAGGAAGGAAAGGGAAGCAGGACCGGAGGAGACGUGGAGGCGAAGAGAGGAGGUGGAGGGAGGAAGUCCGAGAAGAGGGGAGAUCUCGCGGCGAGGCAGUAACAGAAGGAAACAGAGGGACCUGAAAAAGAAGCUGGAGAGGAUAAGAGAAGAAACACACCACUGAGAGAUGCCUCACCAAGCUUCUAUUUACCUAAUUUAAAACUUGAAAGACUUGCUAGCCUAGCCUCGGCGAUUCAAGUGAAGGUUUGGGGUUGAGACUGCAGUUUCCUGCAGGAGGCAGUGUAAGUUGUGUGAGGUGGGGGGAAUUUCUCUUUUUGUGGUCAGACUUUCUAAGUUUGCUGUUGUGCCUCAGUCCUACCAGCACCGGCUCAAUUUCUUUUGCAUAUGACACCCCCAUGAAACGUCGACAUACCUCAUGCGUGCUGAUUAAACUAGCGGUUCCGCGGAGAGGAGGUACAGCCUCAAAGCAUGGGGAAGUCAGAGGUUCCAGGGUCAAAGCAAAGGUAAAGUCAGAGGUUCACAAGUUACAGGUCAAGGGAGACACAAAGGAGUGUCUGUCAGCUGGCCGAUGGACUGGCCUCUUUGUUUAAAAUGUACAAUAUUUAGGGGCGCCUGGGUGGCGCAGUCGGUUAAGCGUCCGACUUC